rnacentral:misc_RNA from 1 species
GUUAAGCCCAAAUGCGUUCUUCUCCCAAACAGAAACUGUCACGAACAAGUUUCCUUUCUUUCUACGUUCCUUUCUGUUCGCUAUUCUUCCCUUAUUGCAAAAUCUAUGGAUUACGAUUUUAGGAACAGGGCGGCCUCACCGUACGAUAAACAAAUUCCUAUCUACAGGACUUCUUCUUCGUCAUCGGCGCCGUCUAGCCACCCUAUGUACGGACAGUCUCUCUAUCCGAGAAUCGGUCAACAGGGCCACACGGCAGUGCCUCCUGCUGGCCGCCACUCCUCAUAUCACCAAACUUCCGCUCCUUCGCACUCUUCUUGUAAGUCGAUCUAAACUAGUUCUUAUAUUUUCUCUAUACAUUGCUGCAGAAUGCUCGGAGUCAGCCUUGGUCAUUUGAAUUAUCGAACCUAAACGCUGUGUUUUUUUUGUUUUUUCAUUUUAUGUUUCAAUUUUUGUUUGAAUUUUCAACUUACAUAUGCUCAAAAAGGAAAUUUCCCGAACUUAAGAACAAAUCAUCGAUUGAUGAAAGGAUAAUUAUGUGUUAAUUAGCUUUUUCUUUGAUUGAGAUCACAGCGAUUACUAGAGGGUUUACGGCUAUUUGUUUUUCAAAAGAUGGUUGGCAAUGGCAUGUUUGUUUAACUUUUUAAUUUGGCUAAAAUCGAAUGAGUGAUUAAGUGCAUAGCGUUUGCAGCAGGAUUAGGCAUUCGAGUUGCUGUAAAGCCAGAGUAUCGGAUCACUCCUCCGGUAUGAUUUGAUUCUUUGCAUAUAUAUUUUUUUUCAAUUUCAAAGAAUUUUCUGGUAAUAUGAGCAUUUAGCUUUAAGCUGUUAUGAUUAUUAAUUUGUCAUGCUUUGCACCAACCAUUUGUCAUUAGUCUUUUGUGGGUAUGUGGAUUGUGGUCUAGGCAUAGAUAACCUACUCUAUGCAUGCCUCACUACUUAUUUUUAUUUCUCAUAAGUUUUCUAAUUUUUAUGGUCCGAGUGAUGUCAAGGUGGAAAAUUAACAAAAAGGUUGUAUGGUUGUGUAUGUGUUGUGCGUUUGUGUUUUCAGAUAUAUAGUGCAUUCAUACAAUGCUGCAGUUCCCACUUUUGUUAGCCCUACUUUGCUUUUUUUGAUCCCUCUGUCGUCUGCCUCUUACUGUUUCACAAAGUUGAGAUGUGAUCCUAUUACCAUCUUGUAUACAUAGGGAUGAUAAUAUUAUAGUAAUCUCUCUAAUUCUUUUUAUCGUUUUUGGGACUCAAUUUCAAUAAUAAAAUUGAACUUAUUUUCUGUUGGAUUUGUUGGCCGCAUAUUUUUGUUGUUAUGAUAGCUGAGUACAUGGUCAAGUAGGCUUUUUUGGGUCACUUGGUCUUUAGUUAUAUGGUAUUUUGCCCAACCUGAUUUCAGCUAUCUAUAAUUGCUCUUGUUGUAGCCUCAGUUGUCACCACAAGUGGGAGAUAUUCCACGGAGCAGCUUCCAUUUUGAUUUUGAGCUUGAGCGAAAAAUUUUAGCUGAAGCAGAGAAGGAAAGCCUGAACUGGAGCAAGUUUGGGCUGGAAAAUCUUCCAUCUAAAACAACAGAAUCAACUUCCUCAUUGGUAUGUUGUUUGUGUUUUUCAAUUUGGUUGGUUUGUAUAAAGUUACUAUGAGGAUGAAGGUCGGGAUUGGGGAUGAAACACAUUGGGAGCAUUUUUAGGCUCCGGUUUUGGGUGAUGGCAUGUCAUCCAAGCAUGCAUCUUUGGGUGCUUUGUUAUGUGAUGAGACCAAUCACUCGAGAACUUCUUGAUUUUAUGUAAUUGCUGUCAUGUUUUUAUAACCAUAGCUGAUUAUUGACUGAUUUCUUGUUUUUAAGGAAACAAAUCUUUACGCAUGAUCAGUUCAUAACUCUUAUCUUUCAACCAGUGAGUUCUGAAAUGAACAAUAUUUUGCCAAAUGCAAAUGCAGGGUUCAGCUGUAGACCCUGUAGUGAGAAAAUACAUUUCAUCAGGACUCAACUGUGAAGCUGUUCCUCAUGCUGUUGCUAACUAUGGGGACAAUCCAACUAAGGUAUUCUCUUUAAGCUUUAUUGUUUUGAGGUCAAUAGAAAGCUUUAUUGUUUCUGCACAUCGAUUAAUGCCUUUAUAUCCUUUUACUUAAAGGUUCAAGAAUUUGUCAAUGGCUACAACCUUUUAAGAGAAAUGGGAUUUGAAACGAGCAAUGUAGUUGAAGCUUUACUCAUGUAUGACAAUGACACACAAAAGGCAUUGGCACGUUUUCUUAACACCUCAUCCUGAACAUAUUGGAAGCGCAUGGCUGAAUUGUCAAAGUGGUGGUAUAUACUAUACGAGUGUAGUCUGGUUUUAUUCUCAUUGUAAAAUUAUGUGGAACAGGCUUGCAUUUACAUUUUGCUUACAUGUAAUAUUACUUUAAUUGUAAACAUCCCCCCAAAAUUUAUGCAUCAGUUAUUUCUGUUUUGGUGCAACAAUGGUUGAUACGGACAACUUUGUAUGGGCUGCUCUCGUUUUCAAUAUUUUGCAUUUUAGCUUUAGCGACAUCACAGGUUCAAUUACCAAACUCAACUCAACUCAACUAAGC